GACGAACGCUGGCGGCGUGCUUAACACAUGCAAGUCGAACGGAAAGGCCCUGCUUUUGUGGGGUGCUCGAGUGGCGAACGGGUGAGUAACACGUGAGUAACCUGCCCUUGACUUUGGGAUAACUUCAGGAAACUGGGGCUAAUACCGGAUAGGAGCUCCUGCUGCAUGGUGGGGGUUGGAAAGUUUCGGCGGUUGGGGAUGGACUCGCGGCUUAUCAGCUUGUUGGUGGGGUAGUGGCUUACCAAGGCUUUGACGGGUAGCCGGCCUGAGAGGGUGACCGGCCACAUUGGGACUGCGAUACGGCCCAGACUCCUACGGGAGGCAGCAGUGGGGAAUAUUGCACAAUGGGCGGAAGCCUGAUGCAGCAACGCCGCGUGCGGGAUGACGGCCUUCGGGUUGUGAACCGCUUUCGCCUGUGACGAAGCGUGAGUGACGGUAAUGGGUAAAGAAGCACCGGCUAACUACGUG
rnacentral:rRNA from 1 species